rnacentral:rRNA from 1 species
AGAGAAGUAAAAGUCGUAACAAGGUUUCCGUAGGUGAACCUGCGGAAGGAUCAUUACAGAGUUCAUGCCCUUCGGGGUAGACCUCCCACCCUAUGUAUACAUUGCCUUUGUUGCUUUGGCGGGCCGCCUUUUGGCCACCGGCUCCGGCUGGUGCGCGCCCGCCAGAGAAACCCAAACCCUGUCUUACAGUGUCGUCCGAGUACUAUAUAAUAGUUAAAACUUUCAACAACGGAUCUCUUGGUUCUGGCAUCGAUGAAGAACGCAGCGAAAUGCGAUAAUUAAUGUGAAUUGCAGAAUUUAGUGAAUCAUCGAAUCUUUGAACGCACAUUGCGCCCCUUGGUAUUCCGGGGGGCAUGCCUGUUCGAGCGUCAUUUCAACCCUCAAGCUCUGCUUGGUCUUGGGCCGCGCCGGCAACGGCGGGCCUCAAAAACAGUGGCGGCGCCAUCGUGUCCCUCAGCGUAGUAAUUCUUCUCGCUGUUGGGCCCCGGUGGCCGCUGGCCAGCAACCCCCAAUUUUUCUAUGGUUGACCUCGGAUCAGGUAGGGAUACCCGCUGAACUUAAG